AGCCUGAACGCUGGCGGCGUGGCUAAGACAUGCAAGUCGUACGGACCCGCAAGGGUCAGUGGCGCACGGGUGAGUAAUGAAUCGCUAACGUACCCCGGACUCAGGGAUAGCUGUCCGAAAGGGCAGGUAAUACCUGAUGAUAUAACCUUGUCGCAUGACUGGGUUCUCAAAGGUCCGCCGGUCUGGGAGCGGGCGAGUUUCGUAGUCAGCUAGUUGGUGAGGUAACGGCUCACCAAGGCGACGACGCGUAGCCGGACUGAGAGGUUGGCCGGCCACAUUGGGACUGAGACACUGCCCAGACUCCUACGGGGGGCUGCAGUAACGAAUCUUCCGCAAUGCACGAAAGUGUGACGGAGCGACGCCGCGUGUGGGACGAAGUCCUUCGGGAUGUAAACCACUGUCAGGGUUACCAAGUUCUGAGAGCCCAGAGGAAGGCACGGCUAACGUCUGUCGCCAGCAGCCGC
rnacentral:rRNA from 1 species